UGGCUCAGUGGGUUAAAGCCUCUGCUUUCAGCUAAGGUCAUGAUCCCAGGGUCCUGGGAUCAAGCCCCACAUAGGGCUCUCUGCCUAGCAGGGAGCCUGCUUCCCCCUCUCUCUCUGCCUGCCUCUCUGCCUACUUGUGAUCUCUCUCUGUUAAAUUAAAUAAAAUUGGAAAAAAAAAAGUUUCAUUUUUCAGAAGUAUCAAUUCAUGAAAUUAAAAAGAAAGGAAAGGCCCUUCACAGAUAGUGUGAGAUAACACUGGUCUAAGAGGUCCUCACUUCUCUUCUCCAUUUGCUGUAUUUUAUUUCCACGAUUUAAAUCACCCCCAUAUGUGUAUGCUCUUAGAUUCUUUCAGAUUUCAAGAAACAGAGAUCCAUUUUGUUUACCUUAAUUAUUUAGGAUUAUUGAUUAGUUUAGGGGAGGAGUAAAAGAGACAAAAAACUAAAAAAUAAAGAGUCCCUCCUGCUACACUCCUGUACCUUAUCAUCCAUCCACUAGCUGACUCCCAUACUUCCUGCCUCUGUGAACAUUGUUAGUUUUCAUCUCUUUAUAAUUCCUGCCACAAUGAUCCCCUCUCCAUGUCACUAAUUCACAUUCCUCAGGAGAGAGACUAUAGAUUGGUUCCCCUACUAAACUAUAAUUUACAUUAGCAGGGCCAGAUAACAUAAUUUGCUAGUCGCAAAAUGAAAAAUGAAAAUGCAAGGCCCCUUUUUCACAAAUUAUUGAGAUUUUCAAGAUAGUGAGUGUGGAACAUUAAACCAAGCUCAAUGCCUUUCUAAAUGGAGUCUUAUAGAACUGCAUAGCUCACCUGCCAGCCAUGUCCUUGAGAAUAGAUCUAUAUAUGUUCUGCUAGCUAGGGUGUCCUCAUACCUAGCAUGUACCCAUGACGCUGAGCAAUCAAAUGGCCUUGAUACCAAGUGGUGCCAGUUUGGAAUGAUAUCAUUGUAUUAGUUUCGCCUCCUUCCCUGCCCACUCCCCUUUACCUUCACUCCUAUUUCUCUCAAAUUGCAUUCAGUCUGUAUUUUCUAGAGAAUCCAAGCUAAAACACUUGACUCCAAAGUGUCCUGAAGACAUUCAGGAUGGGAUAUUAGAGUUGGCUUAAUCACUGGUCUUAUGGCAAUAAAGACAAAGCAUGGUAUGUAGGUAGUAAGUGGGGCCACACAGUGGGAUCAUAACUACUGAGGCUUCCCACCUGUGCUAAUCAGGAUGCCGUGCACGUAGAAGGUGGAACAUUGGAAUGUGUCGUGGCUGUGAUGCUUGAGCAGUAUGGGGAUAAUAACUCUGGGGAUUGGGGUAGAUUCUGUUACCGGAAAUGUACCCUUUGUAAAAGAAAAUGAUACCUCAGGGCAGGCAACUGUCACCUUAAGGCAUGCUGUGAAAGGCAGAAGUCUUCCAUUGGCAGUUUUUUUAAAAGAUUGUAAUUUUGAUGUAAAUUAUUUUUGCUUUUGUCUUUCUUGCCCAGGGAGACAUACCCAGAAAAAUGUUGCUAAGGCCACUAUCCAAGAGAUUACUACCUAUGAUUUUCAUCUCGGAGUUUGACAGUUUCAGGUCUUAUAUUUAGGUUUUACUGCAUUUUGAGGGGUUUUUUUUUAAGAUUUUAUUUAUUUAUUUGGCAGACAGAGAUCUCAAGUAGGCAGAGAGGCAGACAGAGAGAGAGGGAGGGAAGCAGUCUCCCAGGUGAGCAGAGAGCCAGAUGUGGGUCUCAAUCCCAGGACCCUGGGAUCAUGACCUGAGCCGAAGGCAGAGGCUUUAACCCACUGAGCCACCCAGGUGCCCCUUGAGUUUAUUUUUGAGUAUGGUUUAAGAAGGUGAUUCAGUUCAACCUUUUUUGGGGGGCGAGGGGAGAAUGUAGCUUUUCAGUUUUACCAGUACCAUUUAUUAAAGAGACUUUUACCCAUUGUAUAUACUUUCUUCCUUUGUUGUAGAUUAAUUGACCAUAUAAAUUGUAGAUUAAUUGACCAUUAAAUGGCACAGGCAAUUGACCAUAUAGGUUUAUUACUGGCCUUUCUGUUCUGUUCCAGUGAUCUAUUUUUGUGCCAGUACCAAAUUAUUUUCAUUACUAUAGCUUUAUAGUGUAGCUUGAAAUCUGAGAUUGUGAUACCUCCAGCUUUGUUCUUCUUUCUCAAGAUUGCUUUGGCUAUCUGAAGUCUUUUCUAGGUUCAUACACAUUUUAGAUUAUUUGUUUUAAUUCUGUGAAAAAUACUACUGGUAUUUUGACAGAGAUUACAUUAAAUCUGUAGAUUGCUUUGGAUAGCAUGGACAUUUUAACAAUAUUAAUUCUUCCAAUCCAUGAGCAUAGUACAUCUUUUCCAAUUGUUUAUUUGGUCUUUCAUCAGUGUCUUUCAUCAGUGUCUCAGAUGCAGCAAGUCUUUCACCUCUUUGCGGUAUUUUUGGAAAUCACCACUGAAUUUGACUGUUCAGUCCUUUGGCCUAAGGGGAUUCUCUAAGACCAACAGAUGGAUAAGGAAAGAACUUGGACCUGGUUUACACUUGGCUUGGUACAAGAUGUAAGUGUUAUUAAAAAAAUGCACUCCUGGUGCCCACAGUACAGUGAUGGUGGGAAAUCUUCCCUUGGGAAGAUGUGUGAGCAAUACCCUUGAUUGUUGACUUCUUAGGAAGAAGUUGUCUAAGAUAUAGAUAUGGAUAUACAGGAACUUCUAGGCAGAGCGAAAUGGCUUGGCUAAUUGAUUCAGGACCUGAAAAAAAAAAAAUGAUUGAAAUAUUGGGGACAGAUUGGUCUGGAAAACAAAUUUUGAAUGGAUCUGAGGAGAUGAGAGUAUCUCUGUGUCUCAUGUUAAUUUCCCAAGAGAGCAUUCUCAGGCACCAGGUAAACGACAUGACUUGUGUUGUGGUAUCAACUAGCAAGCAUGAGGAUCUAUGAAUGGAGACGUCAUGGUGGCAGUGAUGGAAGUAUUGCAUGGGCCAGAAAAUUCUGAUCUAGCUAGAUUAAUGGCCAUUGCUGAAUUCCCAACUUGCCACUUGCAGAUACCAAAACUGAGCCUUUAAUUGCCAUUGCUCUUUGAGAAGACCAGUUGGCCACUUGAUAGCAGAUUGAUUACACUGGAACACUUCUACCCUGGGGGAGGCAGUAAUGCAUCCUUAUCAGAACUGGUACCUAACCUAGUCAUGAAUUUGCCUUCCUUGUCCUCAGCGCCAGGACCAAUAUUCAAGAAUGUAUGGAAGCCUAAGAUUUUGACAUGGUUUCUCUCACAAUAAUGGCUCAGACCAGAGAAUAUCUUUUAUGACAAAAGAGAGGAAACAACAAACACAGGAGCCAAUGGUCUUAACCUCGUAACUCAUCUGUAUUAGCCAGAUUUUGUCCCAUAACAAAAUACUCCAGACAGUGCAAAGUUGAGGAAUGCCCUCCACAAUAUGGUAUAUGCCCUGAACCAACAGUUAAUAUAUAGUACUAUGUUCCCCAGCAACUAGAAUAUAAGGGGGCAAGGAAAAAAGAAUAGAGGUAGGAUUAACCCCUUUUAGUGGAUGAGUGCUGUUGGUGCUUUGCUUAAAUGUCCUUUACCUACUCACACACUCAUCCCCCAGCUGUUGUGAGUAUUGACUGAGAACUGUCCUUAGCCAAAAAGCUGCCUCAUCUAUGACAUCGACCCCCAUCCCUACCCCCCCUCCCCGCCGCUGACAGACACUGGCCAGUGAUAGACUGACAUGAGGGCACAAAAGAGUAGAGGAGAGAGACAUGAAGACUUUCAAUUAUGACCUUAUUAUCUUCACCAGCAGGGACUUUACCUUGUGUCAUUAACCUUCUUGCCUUAAGUCUUUCCAGAGAUGGUGGCUGGAUAUCAUCUUGAACAGGACUCUGUGACGAAAUGAACUUGUUCUUUCCCCCUGAGGGAGGAAGUGAAGGAAUGAUCUACUCACAAAAAUCGGUGCUUCUAUUGCAGUAUACGGGUGAAUAUAAUGGGAAGCAUGAAUGAAAAUGAGUGGUGAAAAAGAUGCAUUUUAUCAAACAUUGUACUCUAAUGCUCUUGGCCUCAUCAGCCUCAGGACUAGUAGCCAUUUGUUUUGUCCCAGCCAACGUGUGACAGCCAACACCUGGUGGGCUGUUCUGCUAUGGCAAGAGACUUCACAUUAGCACAACUGGAUGGUUAGCUCACCUUAUAACCAAACAAUAUUAUGUCUCACCUCCUGCCCUGGAGUUUUUCUUUUGGAAAAAGACUAAUGAGAUGCUGCGGGACCUGCCAGUACUUACACAUGAACAACCCAGAAAUGUGUGGGAUUCAACUUCCAUGAGGAAAAAUGUUGACAAGGGGAUCUAAAUUCUCUUUGUUCUUCUCAGAAGCUUGUUCUGCGAUAAUGGUCACUUAUAUUACCUCUUGAAAGAUGCUCCCUCGAGACUAAGCAAUUAAUUGUAUUUCAUACUGAGUGAUGGCAGGUUCACAGAAGGAGCAGUGAAGUGCAUACACAUAUAGAAAAUGGUUGCAAAGGAUGAAUAAUGCAAAGAUAGUUUCCCCUCAUUAAUUUUAUUUUCACACAAUAAAUUAGGUUUGUAAAAUUGUACUAUGUAUGGUGUUCGGUAAUAAAAAAAUGAUAUGAUCUAUAAUUUAAAAAUGUAUACAAUCACUAUUGUGAGGUUCUUAUGUUGUAUGUAAAGUUGCUUAAUAUCAAUUCAUUAGAUCUGCAUAUUAUAAUCACUAUAGUAACUAACCUCCAAGAAACUGGAAGCAGAUAUAACUGAAAAGAAAAUACACUUCAGUUGAAAGGCAGUACUAAAAAAAGCAAGACAUAAUAAUAUGCUAUUUAUAAGAGAUUUACUUUAAAUACGAAGACACGGCUAAAUUAAAGUGAUGGACAUAAAUUGCCAUGCAAACACCAUGCAAAUUCGUCUGUUCUAUUUCAAAAUCAAGUUAGAGUACCUAGGACUCCCAGCACUCUGUUAAAUAACAAAUAACAGUGGUGAUAAGUGGACCUCCCCAUCUCAUUCCUCACCAUAAAGGAAAAGCUCUCAGUUUUUCCUCAUUGAGGAUGUUAGCUGUGGGUUUUUCAUAUAUGGCCUUUAUUAGGUUGAGGUAUGUUCCCUCUAACCCUACUCUGUUAAGGGUUUUUAUCAUGAAUGAAUGUUGUACUUGGUCAAAUGCUUUUUUUUUUUUUUUUUUCUUUUGCAUCUAUUGAAAGGAUCAUAUGGUUCUUAUCCUUUCUUUGGUUAAUGUGGUGUAUCAAGUUGAUUGAUUUCUGAAUAUUAAACCACCCUUGAAGCCCAGAAAUAAAUCCCACAUGAUCUUGGUGAAUGACUCUUUUAAGAUACUGUUGGAUUCAGUUUGCUGGUAUUUUUUUUAAGAUUUUAUUUAUUUAUUUACAGAGAGAAAUCACAAGUAGUCGGAGAGGCAGGCAGAGAGAGAGAGAGGGAAGCAGGCUCCCUGCUGAGCAGAGAGCCCGAUGCGGGACUCGAUCCCAGGACCCUGAGAUCAUGACCCGAGCCAAAGGCAGCGGUUUAACCCACUGAGCCACCCAGGCACCCCCUGUUUGCUGGCAUUUUAUUGAGAAUUUUUGAUCCAUGUUCUUCAGAGAUAUUGGUCUGUAGUUCUCUUCUCUUUUUUAGUGGAGUGUUUAUCUGGUUUUGGUAUCAGGGUAAUGCAGGUCUCAUAGAAUGAGUUUGGAAGUUGUCCUUCCAUUUCUGUUUUUUGGAACAG